GACGAACGCUGGCGGCGUGCUUAACACAUGCAAGUCGAACGAUGAAGCCUAGCUUGCUAGGUGGAUUAGUGGCGAACGGGUGAGUAAUACGUGAGUGACCUACCUUUGACUCUGGGAUAAGCCUGGGAAACUGGGUCUAAUACCGGAUACGACCAAUCUCCGCAUGGGGUGUUGGUGGAAAGCGUUAUGGAGUGGUUUUAGAUGGGCUCACGGCCUAUCAGCUUGUUGGUGAGGUAAUGGCGUACCAAGGCGACGACUGGUAGCCGGCCUGAUAGGGUGACCGGCCACACUGGGACUGAGAUACGGCACGGCCUACUACGGGAGGCAGCAGUGGGGAAUAGUGCACAAUGGGCGCAAGCCUAAUGCAGCGACGCCGCGUGAGGUAUGACGGCCUUCGGGUAGUAAACCUCUGUUAUCAUCGAAGAAGCGAAAGUGACGGUAGGUGCAGAGAAAGCGCCGGCUAACUACGUG
rnacentral:rRNA from 1 species